rnacentral:rRNA from 1 species
GAUGAACGCUGGCGGCGUGCUUAACACAUGCAAGUCGAACGGAAAGGCCAGUGCUUGCCCUGGUACUCGAGUGGCGAACGGGUGAGUAACACGUGGGUGAUCUGCCCUGCACUUCGGGAUAAGCCUGGGGAACUGGGUCUAAUACCGGAUAGGACAAUGGUUUGGAUGCCGUUGUGGAAAGUUUUUUCGGUGUGGGAUGAGCUCGCGGCCUAUCAGCUUGUUGGUGGGGUAAUGGCCUACCAAGGCGUCGACGGGUAGCCGGCCUGAGAGGGUGUACGGCCACAUUGGGACUGAGAUACGGCCCAGACUCCUACGGGAGGCAGCAGUGGGGAAUAUUGCACAAUGGGCGCAAGCCUGAUGCAGCGACGCCGCGUGGGGGAUGACGGCCUUCGGGUUGUAAACUCCUUUCGCUAGGGACGAAGCGUAUUUGUGACGGUACCUGGAGAAGAAGCACCGGCUAACUACGUG